rnacentral:lncRNA from 1 species
AGGGGAUUGGGCAGUGCACCAGAAGAAUCUACCACAUUCCCGAGGUUUACUUCAAGAUGCAAUUGGGCCUGCCUGUCAAGCCUUUGCAGUAAACAGUCCAUGCAUAUCUAAUGAGUGACACAAACACAGCUUGCUCUGUCCCAUCAGCUUCCUCCACAGAGCCUGAACCGGCACCAGCUCCACUCUGCAGGAAGGAGGAUGUGGAAAUGAAGAGGCAGGCUCUGAUGACUCAACACAGCCACCCAAACAGGCAAUCUCCCUGGGACUUGCUCAGGGGAUUUUUACCCCCCUACAUGAAGCAGAGAAACAGUGAGUUUCCUCCAAGAGGUCAAAUCCAAGAUGGGUGUUCCUGAUCUGCCUGUAGCUCUCCUCCAACCCAGACUCCUUUCAAACUGUGCCUCCACCAUCUUCAAUAUGGAGCUUCCAAGAUUGCCCUGCUGCCCUGCAUCAAGCCUGCAAAAGAGGAUAGGGGGUCAGGCCACUCAUAUUUCAUUGGCCCAAAUUCAGUCACAUGGCCACACUCACUGCAAGGGAAGCUGGGAAAUGGAGUCUAGCUCUGUGCCCAAGAAGCAAAGAAAAACAGAUUUGAUGAAGACUUAGUCAAUCUCUGCAACAAUGAAACAGAUAAGAAGGCAAAAGAAAAAGAAUUUUACAACCUGAGGAGGGAGAGAAAAUUCAGUUAACAAAAAGAUAGACUACAUGCCAAGGUAGUCUGCAGAAUUCUACCUACCCAAAUUAUGUGUUAAAUUGUGAAAGAAGUUAUGAUAAAAAUAGGAUGAGGGUGAAAUUUGAAAAAUGCUCUGGGGACACAUAGCACACUCCUUCCCUGGUGACACAG